rnacentral:rRNA from 1 species
AAAUUGAACUCGCUGUGAAGAUGCAGUGUACCCGCGGCAAGACGGAAAGACCCCGUGAACCUUUACUAUAGCUUGACACUGAACAUUGAGCCUUGAUGUGUAGGAUAGGUGGGAGGCUUUGAAGUGUGGACGCCAGUCUGCAUGGAGCCGACCUUGAAAUACCACCCUUUAAUGUUUGAUGUUCUAACGUUGACCCGUGAUCCGGGUUGCGGACAGUGUCUGGUGGGUAGUUUGACUGGGGCGGUCUCCUCCUAAAGAGUAACGGAGGAGCACGAAGGUUGGCUAAUCCUGGUCGGACAUCAGGAGGUUAGUGCAAUGGCAUAAGC